AAUCGGCGGGAAGAGUCACCGAAAAUGCGUCGACGAAAAACCGUUCCGUAGGUGAACCUGCGGAAGGAUCAUUA
rnacentral:rRNA from 1 species